AAUCCAUGAUGUGGAGAUUGGCGUUGAAGGUCUUUGAAUCUUUCUCAGGCUUCAUACAACGUCUCGUCUUCCUUCAUUCGACAAUUGGAUAUUUAUUUCCUCAGCCU
rfam:Jatropha curcas cultivar GZQX0401 scaffold1_10, whole genome shotgun sequence.